GAUGAACGCUGGCGGCGUGCCUAAUACAUGCAAGUCGAGCGAACAGACGAGGAGCUUGCUCCUCUGACGUUAGCGGCGGACGGGUGAGUAACACGUGUAUAACCUACCUAUAAGACUGGUAUAACUUCGGGACACCGGAGCUAAUACCGGAUAAUAUCUUGAUCCGCGUUGUUCGUUAGUGAGAUACGGUUUUGCUGUCUCGUAUCGAUGGUUCCGCGCCGCAUUAGCUAGUUGGUACGUUAACGGCUUACCAAGGGGACGAUGCGUGGCCGACCUGAGAGGGGGGUCGGCCACACUGGAACUGGGACACGGUCAAGACUCCUACGGGAGGCAGCAGUAGGGAAUCUUACGCAGUAGGCGAAAGCCUGACGGAACAAGGCCGCGUGAGUGAUGAAGGUCUUCGGAUCGUAAAACUCUGUUAUGAGGGAAAAACAAAUGUGUAAGUAAAUAUGCACGUAUUGACGGUACCGGAUCAGAAAGCCACGGCUAACUACGUG
rnacentral:rRNA from 1 species